rnacentral:tRNA from 1 species
GGGGUUGUGGCUCAGUGGUAGAGUACUCACCUCGCACGUGUGAAGCACUGGGUUUAAUCUCAGCACCA